UACGUAGGGGGCGAGCGUUGUCCGGAGUUACUGGGCGUAAAGGGCAUGCAGGCGGUCCGACACGUUUUGUGUGACAGCGGGUGGCUUAACUACCCGAGGAUACGAAAGACGGUUGGACUUGAGGACUCGAGAGGGACACGGAAUUCCGGGUGGAGUGGUGAAAUGCGUAGAGAUCCGGAGGAGCACCGAAGGCGAAGGCAGUGUCCUGGCGAGUGACUGACGCUGAGGUGCGAAAGCCAGGGGAGCGAACGGG
rnacentral:rRNA from 1 species